CUGCGAAUAUUCUCGCUCCUCUAAUUUUGUAAUAAUUUGGGCAGGCUAAACAUGUGCUACACUGAGACCAUGUUUGUGUCUCCAGACAGAUCCUCCUU
rnacentral:snoRNA from 1 species